UUUUUUUUUUCUGUCCUGAUAUGGUGCAGGUCUUAUGCAAGCAAGCAGAGUCACUGGGAGUUUAUGCAUACAGUGUCCCAUGUGUUUCUCAUAAAUACUUGCACUGCAGAGGUCUACUGUUUCUGUUUCUUAUACUCAGAAAUAAUGAAUCUUGAGGGGAAGGAGUGAGCUAUAGAUGUCCCAUUAAACACUGAUCACUCCACAGUUUCUCAUUCUUUGCAUGUUGAUGAGCUAUGUGUCUAUAUUAAUCACACUGUGUAGUAGAAUGAAGCUUCUCUAAAUAGGGUUAUGAGAUACACGAAGAAUGCUUUCAGGUCAGUAACAUCUUGGUUUCUCAAUGUCCUAUAACCAAAGUAUGUGGGUUGGUCAGGAAUUGGCUUUUACAACAAAGUUCUGGUGGGUACUGAAGAGCUUUUAAUGUUUCAGAUGUCUAUAAGACACCAAUGACUAACAUCUUGAAGAAGAGUAACCCAUAUCUGGAUCUGGACUUUUUAAUUUGUAAUCUGUGAUAUCUGGGAGAGACACUUUCCCCCUAGGGCAACUUCAUCUACACUAUGUUUGUAUCUACAUAUCUAUAUUUUAGGAAGUUUCUAGAGUAAUAAGCAUAUGAUAUGUUCAAAAUCUUUGUGAUAAACUCUGACCUCCCUUCUUACAUAUAUGAAUCACUGUUUCUGUCUUUUCUUUAUUCUUUCAUACAGCCUCCAUCACCCUUCCAUUGAAAUAUCCUGUACAUACUUACUAGUGUCUGACUCCAAUAUACGUGAAUACAUAUAUAUAUACAUAUAUAUAUAUUUGUAUACAUAUAUACAAAACUACUAUCCACAUAUGAGAAAGAAUAUACAAUAUCUGUCUUUCUGGCUGUGAUGUUUACCUCAUUCAGAAUAAUUACUUCCAGCCACUCAUAUUUAUGUGAAAUUUUUAUAGGUUUUUAAAUAGCUGAAAUAAAAUCCCCUAUUUUCAUCACCCAUUAUCAGUCAAUGGACAUCUAGAUAUUCUUCAUUUCCGAGAUAUUGUCAAUCAAGUCAAAUGACCAUGGAAUAGCAAGUAUCUUUGGUGCAGAAUACAAGGUCAUUUAAAUCUUUUUCAAAACGAAAAUCACACUAAGCUUUCCCUGUACCACUAAAUGCUAUGUCUGUAUAAUAAAAUAAACUGAAUGAGGCUGAAGAUUAUUAUCACGGAGGCAUAGAGCCAAAACUAAAGGUGUUAUCCAUAUUCAAUCUGUUAAUCUUUAUGAGAUUAUUCCUUCAUAUUUAUAUAUUAGUGAAUGUGUGUAUGGUGUGUCUAUAUUUAGUCUGUAUACACAUACAUAGAUUAUUUUCCUAAGAAUACCCAUUGCAAACAAUCACAAGGAGAAAGAAAUAGUUUGUUUUUCAGUCACCAUGAAAACAAAAUGUUGACAGAUUUCAAGCACAAGUUUGAAUAACCCCUGAGAUUUUUCUAGAAAUUUAACGGGACACAAAUAUUUACUUAUUGCUGUGCCUGAGUUCUGGAAACAUAACUGUGUUGACCAGGAAAUCAAGGAAAGACAGAUUCACAAACACAUAGACAAACAAAUCUGAGGGUAGAUUUAUUAGAGACAGCUGAAAGAGGAAGAGACAGGUUAAGAAGGCUUGGGAACAGGUUUUUGCAAGGGAGAGGGGUCAGGUUGCAGCUAUCUGGAAGGCUGUGGUUGAUAGUUUCUGCACACAUUGGUAUUAGCUAAAGGUUAAUCUUCUUAACAUCUGUUCUUGGGAUGAAAAUUGGACUUUGUCAUUCCUCUCAGCAUCUCCCAGGGAAGGCUUUGCCAUUUCCACUAGUCUAAGGCAUUGGAGUCCUGCCAUAGACAUGACCUUACUCACAUCAACAAUACACAUUCACUAUUUCCUCUACUCACUCCAGCUCGGCACUAAACUUCUAUAAGUUAAUGAUUCUAGUAUUC
rnacentral:lncRNA from 1 species